CUGAACUUUUGGUAAUAACAGUAUCACCAAGCACUUUCCCUGGGGACAUCAACAAGUGUCCCUUCAAAGACAUGCUGACUCCACCUCACUUGCUUCUCACCUGGUGGAUCAGAGGAACCAGCUGUAAUACAAAAUGUCCUUCUUUUUGGUGACUGUUAACAUACUUCUUCACAGUGCAGUGUCUACAGAGGAGCUGUGGGCCCACCCAUUCACUGAUGUUACCCUCUCCUGUCAUUUCUCCUUUGUGAAGGGCACCGAAAAUCUUGAGUUUUCUUGGGAAAGAGAAGACAUCAAACAGGCAUAUGAGGUAGAGGAUAAUAAAGAAUAUUACCUCCUUUUCAAGUACCUUGAUUUUUUUUGAAGUUUUCUCGAAGUUGGUUUACCAGUUUCACAAUAACACAGAGCAACUAGAAGAUCAAAAUUCCUUGUAUGAGGGAAGAGUAUCUGUGGACCAGGCUGAAAUUUCUGAGGGGACUCUAUCACUUUUACUAAGAAAUGUGGAUUUCAUGGAUGAAGCUAUCUACAAGUGCUCAGCCAUCACACCAGAUGGAAGAGGUGAAAGUACAAUUAAGCUAAUAGUAGAAGACUCUGAAAUGCCCCAGGUGCAAUUUGACAGGAUUGAUGAUGAGGAUGUGGCCACAUGCAUCUCAAAGGACUAG
rnacentral:sRNA from 1 species